CUCAACUACUAGGGCCUGUGGGGGCUCAGGGCAGUGGGCAGUCCUGAAGUCCCCUUUUGUGCUGCCACUGAGGCUGCUGCUGCAGCAAGAUUCAGCCCUGGGUCGUAAAGAGAGGAAGUGCGGAAGAACCAGCUCUGAUGCAGAUUCCAUCCCAGUUUUGCCAUUCAGUAGCUGUGUGACCUUGGGCAUGCUAAGUUUCUGGCUUCUCAAUUGGAGUAACAACAAUACUCCAUUUAUGUUCAUAGACUAUUAUAAAAGCCAAAAUAAAAAUAACAGCAUGUGGGGACUUCCCUGGUGGUCCAGUGGUUAAGAAUCUCCCUCCCCCAAAAAAUAACCCACCUGCCAACGCAGGGGACACAGGUGUGAUCCCUGGCCCUGGAAGAUUCUGCAUACCUCAGAACAACUAAGCCUGUGCAGCAGCUACUGAAGCCCCCUCACCCCAGAGCCUGUGCUCCACAAAUAGAGAAGCCACCACAGUGAGAAGCCCAAGCACGACAAUGAAGAGUAAACCCCUGCUCACCACAGCUAGAGAAAGCCCGCGUGCAGCAAAGAAGACCCAGUGCAGCCAUAAAUAAAUAAAUAGUAAGAGCAUGAACCUGCAGAGUCAUAUAGAAAAGGCAGCCAGCAUUAUGAUUAAUGAUAUGUUUAAAAUUUUAUUUUAGUUGAUGUGAAUCAAAAUUGCACUGUGUGAAGACUUAGACCUGCCCCUUUGCCCAUGCACAGAUGCUGGCGUUCUGUGCUCUCUCAGAGCCCAACAGGAUUCAGCAAGGAUUCACCAGUGACACAGCAUAUAUUAAAUGUGUUCUCACAGCAGGUUGACAACGGUGGCCCAGCCUCUGUGCCAGGGAUUGGGGGAAGAUUAUGUUGCUGUCUGGGCAGAAACUAUCUUCCUUACGAAGAAAUCUGGCAGCAAACGGGCGACCAGGACUGAGUUCUGUGAUGUCUUCCCAGCUUGGCAGGCUCCUUGUGCCUUGCGGUUCCUGGACCAGAAGGCCCUGGCCUCAUCUAAAAACACCAGGACGCAGCGGGUAAGAGAACUACAUUGGCCCCAAGUCUUCACUCUGCAUAGAGCCUCUGGUCUCCAAGGG
rnacentral:lncRNA from 1 species